CGAACGGGUGAGUAACGCGUACGUAACCUGGCCACAGAUGGGGAUAGCCCUGGGAAACUGGGAUUAAUACCGCAUAAUAUAUUAGUAUGGCAUCAUAUAAAUAUUAAAGGAGAGAUCCGUCUGUGGAUGGGCGUGCGUUCUAUUAGUUAGUUGGUGAGGUAACGGCUCACCAAGGCGAUGAUAGAUAGGGGGCGUGAGAGCGUGAUCCCCCACACGGGUACUGAGACACGGACCCG
rnacentral:rRNA from 1 species